CGGGUAGCGGAACACGUACGCAACCUUCCUUUAACUGGAGGAUAGCCCCUCGAAAGAGGGAUUAAUACUCCGUAACAUACUGAAGUGGCAUCACUUUAUUAUUAUAGCUCCGGCGGUUAAAGAUGGGCGUGCGCCUGAUUAGAUAGUUGGCGGGGUAACGGCCCACCAAGUCUGCGAUCAGUAACUGGUGUGAGAGCACGACCAGUCACACGGGCACUGAGACACGGGCCCG
rnacentral:rRNA from 1 species